rnacentral:lncRNA from 1 species
CAGAAAGCUAAAAACUGGACUGACUCACGGAAAAGCGAUUGGGGCAAGUGAUCUGCCCAAAUCACUGCCCCAAUCACACUGACAGCAGAAAUAGACAGCAGAGGCGGGAAAAGUGCAGGGAACCGAAAUUCGAAUUUUGAGAAGCCCAAAUCCAACUCAAUCACUGCCAACAAAAUUCCAAGAGCCACGAAAGAGUUUCUCACCUAAGGAAUUCCAUUUGCAAUUAAAUUCAACAUCAAAAGAG